CCUACGGGAGGCUGCAGUGGGGAAUAUUGGACAAUGGGGGGAACCCUGAUCCAGCGACGCCGCGUGAGUGAAGAAGUAUUUCGGUAUGUAAAGCUCUAUCAGCAGGGAAGAAAGAAAUGACGGUACCUGACUAAGAAGCCCCGGCUAACUACGUGCCAGCAGCCGCGGUAAUACGUAGGGGGCAAGCGUUAUCCGGAUUUACUGGGUGUAAAGGGAGCGUAGACGGUUACGCAAGUCUGGAGUGAAAGGCGGGGGCCCAACCCCCGGACUGCUUCGGAAACUGUAUAACUGGAGUGCAGGAGAGGUAAGUGGAAUUCCUAGUGUAGCGGUGAAAUGCUUAGAUAUUAGGAGGAACACCAGUGGCGAAGGCGGCUUACUGAACUGUAACUGACGUUGAGGCUCGAAAGCGUGGGGAGCAAACAGGAUUAGAUACCCCAGUAGUC
rnacentral:rRNA from 1 species